AAUGAGUGCAAAUGGAUAUCAGUCUCUAGCUUGUGUUAUAAACUAGGAGAUACCGUGCAUAGAGUUCUGUUGCUACAUACUGAGAUGAUUGAUGCUUGCCUGCUUUGGGGUGCUGCAAGAUGUCAGACUGCCUGAGAUCACGUAAUAUCUAUGAUGCUGAAGGAAAGGCCACAGUUGUCUUUAUCCUGCAAUGAGUUUCAUCAAGAGAGCAGAGGAGCCUUCACUAAAUAUCCUGGAUCAUGUCAUAAGGGACGCAACACAUCAGCAAUAACAAGACAUGAUGACGAUACGUCUGAGGGUUACAAAGGUAUAAGUCAAGUCCAGAACCUUCUAUUACCUGUUGUGAUAGGUGGCCCUGGCCUAAAAACAUUGCCACCUGCCAAACUGGGAGAAUACUUUCUUCUUAGAUUAGACGUAUACACCAAAAAUGAAGUGCUUGUUUUAAAGAGUAUCCUCCUUUAAAGAGGGGAAUCUCCCCUAGAACUUAAAUUUAAAUAUUGAUACUGACCAUUUAGAG